CCCAUAUGGGCCGAAGGCCCAAGGGCAGCAUCUAUACGCCUAAAAGCCACGGAGAACAGAGAACACCGCACUAUCAGGCCAGACUAGCGCCCAAAGGGGAUAACUGAGUUGCGGUGAGCACACAUAUGUUCCAACGUCCUAGCCAGACGUACUGGUUCCCAUUUCAUGGCCUCCAACAUGGGCUCCAACAGGGGCAUGCGGUUCUGGUCGUUUCCUAAAAC
rnacentral:lncRNA from 1 species